GUCGCCUACACAUGCAGUCGAGCGGUAACAUUUCAAAAGCUUGCUUUUGAAGAUGACGAGCGGCGGACGGGUGAGUAAUGCCUGGGAAUUUGCCCAUUUGUGGGGGAUAACAGUUGGAAACGACUGCUAAUACCGCAUACGCCCUACGGGGGAAAGCAGGGGACCUUCGGGCCUUGCGCUGAUGGAUAAGCCCAGGUGGGAUUAGCUAGUAGGUGGGUAAUGGCUCACCUAGGCAACGAUCCCUAGCUGGUCUGAGAGGAUGAUCAGCCACACUGGGACUGAGACACGGCCCAGACUCCUACGGGAGGCAGCAGUGGGGAAUAUUGCACAAUGGGGGAAACCCUGAUGCAGCCAUGCCGCGUGUGUGAAGAAGGCCUUCGGGUUGUAAAGCACUUUCAGCGAGGAGGAAAGGGUGUAAGUUAAUACCUUACAUCUGUGACGUUACUCGCAGAAGAAGCACCGGCUAACUCCGUGCCAGCAGCCGCGGUAAUACGGAGGGUGCGAGCGUUAAUCGGAAUUACUGGGCGUAAAGCGUGCGCAGGCGGUUUGUUAAGCGAGAUGUGAAAGCCCCGGGCUCAACCUGGGAACCGCAUUUCGAACUGGCAAACUAGAGUCUUGUAGAGGGGGGUAGAAUUCCAGGUGUAGCGGUGAAAUGCGUAGAGAUCUGGAGGAAUACCGGUGGCGAAGGCGGCCCCCUGGACAAAGACUGACGCUCAGGCACGAAAGCGUGGGGAGCAAACAGGAUUAGAUACCCUGGUAGUCCACGCCGUAAACGAUGUCUACUCGGAGUUUGGUGUCUUGAACACUGGGCUCUCAAGCUAACGCAUUAAGUAGACCGCCUGGGGAGUACGGCCGCAAGGUUAAAACUCAAAUGAAUUGACGGGGGGCCCGCACAAGCGGUGGAGCAUGUGGUUUAAUUCGAUGCAACGCGAAGAACCUUACCUACUCUUGACAUCCAGAGAACUUUCCAGAGAUGGAUUGGUGCCUUCGGGAACUCUGAGACAGGUGCUGCAUGGCUGUCGUCAGCUCGUGUUGUGAAAUGUUGGGUUAAGUCCGCAACGAGCGCAACCCUAUCUACUGCCAGGGGUAAUGCCAGUAACUUAGGAGACUGGCGGUGAUAAUCCGGAGGGAAGGGUGGGGACG
rnacentral:rRNA from 1 species